rnacentral:rRNA from 1 species
UACGGGGGGGGCAAGCGUUGUUCGGAAUUACUGGGCGUAAAGGGCUCGUAGGCGGCCAACUAAGUCAGACGUGAAAUCCCUCGGCUUAACCGGGGAACUGCAUCUGAUACUGGAUGGCUUGAGUUCGGGAGAGGGAUGCGGAAUUCCAGGUGUAGCGGUGAAAUGCGUAGAUAUCUGGAGGAACACCGGUGGCGAAGGCGGCAUCCUGGACCGGCACUGACGCUGAGGAGCGGAAGCCAGGGGAGCAAACGGG